rnacentral:rRNA from 1 species
UACGUAGGGUGCGAGCGUUGUCCGGAUUUAUUGGGCGUAAAGAGCUCGUAGGUGGUUUGAUAAGUCGGAUGUGAAAUCUCCAGGCUCAACCUGGAGCUGCCAUUCGAUACUGUCAUGACUUGAGUCCGGUAGGGGACCACGGAAUUCCUGGUGUAGCGGUGAAAUGCGCAGAGAUCAGGAGGAACACCGGUGGCGAAGGCGGUGGUCUGGGCCGGAACUGACGCUGAGGAGCGAAAGCGUGGGUAGCAAACAGG